rnacentral:rRNA from 1 species
AUUGAACGCUGGCGGCAUGCCUAACACAUGCAAGUCGAACGGCAGCACGGCAGUAGCAAUACUGUGGGUGGCGAGUGGCGGACGGGUGAGGAAUACGUCGGAAUCUGCCCAGUCGUGGGGGAUAACUAGCCGAAAGGUUAGCUAAUACCGCAUACGACCGAGAGGUGAAAGCGGGGGACCGCAAGGCCUCGCGCGAUUGGAUGAGCCGACGUCGGAUUAGCUAGUUGGUGGGGUAAAGGCCCACCAAGGCGAUGAUCCGUAGCUGGUCUGAGAGGAUGAUCAGCCACACUGGAACUGAGACACGGUCCAGACUCCUACGGGAGGCAGCAGUGGGGAAUAUUGGACAAUGGGCGCAAGCCUGAUCCAGCAAUGCCGCGUGUGUGAGAAGGCCUCGGUUGUAAG